GUGUGUAUAUUGAUGAGGGAAAAAAAAUAUUUAAUCCAUUUUAGAAUAAGGCUGUAAUGUAAAACAAAUUAGGGGAAAAGUCAAGGGGUCUGAAUACUUACUGAAUGCAGUGUAUGUACACUUGUUUAAUACAGUGAGAGUCAGAGAGAGGAUUGAGCAUCAUUCAAGAGCCCACAUUGCUAACUGGAGUUUGUAUUGUGUAGGAGAAAAGAGUCUGGGUGGAGUUUGUAUUGUGUAGGAGAAAAGUGUCUGGGUGGAGUUUGUAUUGUGUAGGAGAAAAGUGUCUGGGUGGAGUUUGUAUUGUGUAGGAGAAAAGUGUCUGGGUGGAUGCACAAGCCCUGGAGGUUGAGCUGACAGACUGGCAGAGAGACCAGGAACCAGACACUGACCAUGAGGGAUUUUACCGCACCAGCCUGCCAACCAUCAUCACACAGAUGCUGGAGGGGAAUGUGCGGGUCGCUCUGAUGAUCAGUGAAUCACUUUAGGAUCAGACCACACAGGUGGGGCUCUAUGAGAUGGAGAACCUCAAUAGUUUCCGGGAGGCGCCUGUUGAAUUUGGGAAGGAGCAUCGCUGGGAUCAAAGCACAAAUAACAAGUUCCACCUCUAUCUACUGGCCUCUAAGAGACUGCAUCAUCCUCAUCCUCUAUCAACCCCUGGCUGCUCUGUUCCGGGUUGUGAGGAUGGCCUGCCGUCUGGCGAUAGGUCAACUACUGCUGGAGCUCCAGCCCUUCCUGCAGGGACUCCUGUCUCGCUCCUGACUGGCCCAGGGAUACAUCACGCUCACUUCGAAGUUAUGUGGCGUCCUGGAGCGCCAUAUUGAGAUGUGUAGUUGUGUUCGCCCACCCUGCCAGCACCUUUUGACAAUCAUAUUAGUCUGUAGCUGACUUAUACCAGUGUCCUGAGUAGCGUUUGCAUGCAGUGGCUGAUGGUGGUGGAGUAUGUGAGGGUGUUGAUGCAGAAGAGGCUGGUGUGUUGUAAUGCAGAGGAGCGACGCGAGCUGGCCCAGAGAAUGGCACUGGAUGCCCAGUAUCUGAGGGAUCUCUUCCAGGGCCUGGUUGUGAGGAUACACUUGAGUUUAGCCACAGCCAGUUAUACACAAUCUAGUGGGAAACUCUGCCCAGCUCUGCUCUCUUCUCUAUCCCACAGACUACACACCCAACUCACAGCCGGUCCACACCAUACCCAACAUACACCUCAAACCACACCCUCCUUCGUUUUAAUUCACUGCACCAUUUUAUGUACAGUUUCAAUUUUCACAUAAAUACAAACACACUGUACACUAGCAGUCAAAAGUUUGGACACCAACUAAUUCAAGGAUUUUUCUUUAUUUUUACUAUUUUAUACAUUGUAGAAUAAUAGUGAAGACAAACUAUGAAAUAACACAUGGAAUCAUGUAGUAACCAGAAAAUUUGAGAUUCUUCAAAUAGCAACCCUUUGCCUUGAUGACAGUUUUGCACACUCUUGGCAUCCAUCUUCUCUGACACCCUGGUGCCUAUUCCUAGCAUGCCAUUCUGUCUGCCUACUGCCAUCUGUGCCUGACUACCAAUUUGCACCUUUUAAAUUCACUAAUCACACACACAAGCUUGCGGUUAUAUAAACUUGAAAUGAACAGUAAUACAAUUUAAAAUGUGUGAAAUUCAUGACUUCUUUAUUGGAAUAAUAUGUUGAUGAAUCUGAUAACUUUAAGUGUUUGAUCACUGCCAGAAAGAAAUACAGGUAACAAAAUAAAUAAUUAAUUAAAUGGGGGAUACAAAGUCUAUUGAAAGCAGGUUCUUCCAUACAGUUGUUGUUUCUGAGUUAAUUAAGAAAUGAACCUCCCAUCAUGCUUAAGGUAAUUUAUAAAAAUGCCAAGUUGUGCAUUGUUGCCUACCAUGGCUAGAAGAGAUCUCAAUGAAUUGACUUUGAAAAAGGGGUCCCAAAGGUACAUAGGAGACAGCGUUUCCCACCACCUUCGACAAAACACCCAAUUGUGGAAUUUUUCAUGGAAGAAUGGCGUCGCAUCCCUCCAAUAGAGUUCCAGACACUUGUAGAAUCUAUGCCAAGAUGCAUUGAAGCUGUUCUGGUAGCCCAACACCCUAUUAAAGAGAAAGGAAAGGGGGGUACCUAGACAGUUAUACAACUGAAUGCAUACAACUGAAAUUAAGACACUAUGUUGGUGUUUUUUAUUUAUUUUGGCAUUUCCUUGGAGCAGUUAUCUCGAUCGUUAACUACAGCUAAGCAUUAAUAUCAUUGUUGCCUUUCCACCGGCACUGUACUGUAGAUGGCCUAAAUACUGUACAUCUGCAACGUUGAAAAGAUGGGAUUCCCCGAUAUUAAACAGUAGCCAUGUAAUUGCGACAACGUUAAAACAUAUUCUAAGAAUAGCAUAAUUGACAAAUAACUUGCUGUGCAUAGAUCUCCCCUGAAACAUGAAUAUUUGAGGCUUAUAUGAAUAAACAUGUCUAGUGGGAGACCUUGCUCUGAAGUAGCCCACCUUAUCCACCUGUUUCAUUGAGUUAGGGAAUAAUUUUAUAAAGACAAAAGUAUUUGGUUGUAUUGUUGCACUAUUUUAUAUCAAGUGUGGCAUCCAUCCUCCAGGAUAGCUACUGGGUGGCAACCAUCCUCCAGGAUAGCUACUGGGUGUGCAUGCAGUUGUUCAAGCCCUGAUCUAACCACAUUGUAGCCUAAACAUCAGCUGCUCAACAGGACCUUGAUAAGCAGACUUGGGUGUUUCAGGGCUGGAUCCAGAUAGAGGGUUGAACACAUGUUGACAACAUCUGACUAACAGUGCAGUUAUACUUUGUGUGUGUGUGGGGGGGGUGUUAAGUGCCUUGAUCAAGGGCACAAUGGCAGGAGAUGGUAGGCCUACAUGGGAUCAGACACUGCAGCCUUCCAGUGUCAAUAAUACUUACUAUUUCAUGUAGGGUAUAAUAAUGGUUGAAAGUCAUGGGGAAGUCAUUGAAAAUGUUUAUGAACCCCUUAACAGUGAAUAACUAGAGGUCUCUAUAGCAUAAUGUCAUUUUAGAAUUUCUGUAAAUAUAGUCUUUAAUAGACUCACUUGGAAAAGGACAGCUCCUGCACUUCUUUCAUCCAAAAUCAAGUACUGACUAUAACCAGUUAGCAAGUUGAAAAUGUCAGUAUGUGUUCACACUCAGAUUACAAGGGGUUAAUGCCGCAUUCAAAACAACUGGGAACUUCGACUUCAGUGCGUUCAAGACAACUGGGAACUCCGGGAAAAGCGGGCUCCGAUUGGGGAAAAAUCUUUUUGAACAGUCACCCGACUCGGAAUUCCAAGUCAGACUUGGGUAUCUUUCUUGAGCUCCGACCUGAAGAUCACUGAUGUCAUGAUUUGAUCUCAUUUUUGUCCGAGUUUCCAGUUGUCUUGAAAGCGCCAAAUUUUGACACCAGUGUAUGACUUGGGGGAUGACGUCAGGUGACAUUUCUAGGGAAAACAUGUCUGCCCCGGUUGAGGCAAUGCUGUCAUAAUCCAUUUUUUUAGGGAUUGGUGUAAAAACAUUAUUCUUGUGGAAUACAAAAGACACAGCAUGUAAAUAUGCUAUUUCUGUUUUGUUAUUUGUAAUAAAAUAGCAGAAAUGUAU